GACGAACGCUGGCGGCGUGCCUAAUACAUGCAAGUUGAGCGCUGAAGGUUGGUACUUAUCCCGACUGGAUGAGCAGCGAACGGGUGAGUAACGCGUGGGGAAUCUGCCUUUGAGCGGGGGACAACAUUUGGAAACGAAUGCUAAUACCGCAUAAAAACUUUAAACACAAGUUUUAAGUUUGAAAGAUGCAAUUGCAUCACUCAAAGAUGAUCCCGCGUUGUAUUAGCUAGUUGGUGAGGUAAAGGCUCACCAAGGCGAUGAUACAUAGCCGACCUGAGAGGGUGAUCGGCCACAUUGGGACUGAGACACGGCCCAAACUCCUACGGGAGGCAGCAGUAGGGAAUCUUCGGCAAUGGACGAAAGUCUGACCGAGCAACGCCGCGUGAGUGAAGAAGGUUUUCGGAUCGUAAAACUCUGUUGGUAGAGAAGAACGUUGGUGAGAGUGGAAAGCUCAUCAAGUGACGGUAACUACCCAGAAAGGGACGGCUAACUACGUG
rnacentral:rRNA from 1 species